GGAGAGAUGGCCGAGUGGACGAAGGCGCACGCCUGGAGAGCGUGUAGACGUUAACGCGUCUCCUGGGUUCAAAUCCCAGUCUCUCCGCCA
rnacentral:tRNA from 2 species